GUGGAUAUCUUUUCACUCGAUCCGCCGCGUACGUAUGAGGCGGAUUUACUCCGCGAAAGUACGCAAGGUUAAUACAGUCUCGGCGUUGUUGCGCGGAUUGAUGCCGAGUGCCACGGCGAUACGCCGCGUUAACACACGAUUCGGCCGCCGUGUACUAAUAAUCUGGCCGUGGCGUAGCCGCGGAUUAUGUUUGUGCCGCGUUGGCUGUACUGUAGCACCAUCAAUUAUUUUUCUUUACUGUUUCAGUACGGGACAAAUUCAAAAGCUCCCAGAAAACAGGAGGUGGGCCUGCCAAGCCUUUAAAAGCCUCUGAAGAAUUAAUUCUUCAAUUUUUAAUAGACAGGCCCCAAUUAGAUGGGAUUAUUGGAGGUCUCGAUACUUCAGGGGAAUCAUCAUCAGUGGUGCCAUCAUUGAAGACAUAUGAAGACACUGAAAAUGUCAUUCCAGUGGGUGAAUAUUCAGUCGAGAUGAAAAGUUCCAUUUCGAAUCAAGCUAUAAGGACCGUAUCAGAUCCCCCGACAUCAACAUCUUCUGUUGUCCAGUCAAAGGUGUCUGCUGAUGUGAGCUCUAAAAUGAAGGAAAGGAACAAAAAUGUACAUCGAUGAUGAAGUUACAAUCUGGACAAGAUCUGACAGACGCAAUUAAGUGAAUCGACAUUGUGACGGUUGUUUUAUCGAAAUUAUUUUAUUAACGGUAUAUGGUGAUUAAAAUGUAUUUAACAAA